AAUAAGUGUAGCCAUAAGUUUCCACGCCCAACUUUGAUCGUUCGUCUUAUUUGAAAAUUUUUUAUAAUUAGCGCUUUUGUUGUUAUGAGAUGAUAAAACAUGAAUAGUACUCUACUCGUGACUUAUGUUUUAAUUUUUUUUAAUUUUUUUUAAAUAAGACGAACGGUCAAAGUUGAACGCGGAAAACUAUGGCUGCACUUAUU
rfam:Oryza glumipatula chromosome 7, whole genome shotgun sequence.